rnacentral:lncRNA from 12 species
CCCAAGGAGAUGUCUUUAAGCUAGAAGGGAUGACAAGCUCAUAUGUUUUGUGCUAUCAGCAUAAGUGCAGGCUAAAAAGCAAGAUGAAAUUAGUAAUGGGAAGUAAAGUAUGUAAAUUCAAAACCAAUAUAUGAGCAAUUGAGUCAGUUCUGCUAAAUGACUCACUUAAGGUGCCUUCAAAACGGACUAAUCUUUUAUAAUUUGAUUGCCUUGUAGAUGCCAGUUCCCAUUGAUUUUGGGAGCAGCACAUAUAGAAACAAUUGCUAUACUUGAUCAUGACUACUUCCUAUGGCUCUGAAGGAUCUUUGCAAAUUGUCAUUUUGGACUCAGUUUGAAUACAGGCAAGCUCUCUGGGAAGUCAGAUCAUCACAGGGGGAUUGGUGGGCAUGGCAUCAGAAUUGAACUGGACUGUUUAAUGGCAUAGAAUUCUGAUAGAUGGAUUUAUCACUUGCUAACAUGGGGACCUAGCUCCCAUCAGCCUAAGAGCAGCUUCUCUAAGUGGUGCUUCGAGAGACCUUCCCAAAGUUUAUCUCUAUGACUUUUCUUUGUUUUUGUGGCAUAGUGUUUUCACAUUCAGCCACUGAUUUCUCAGAUAUUUGCCCACACAAAGACCCACUGGUCAGGAAUUGCUAUUCUUUAUAUCAAGAGUUUCCAACCAAGUUGAAAUAAGUGCAAAUCCUGAUGCUAAGAACCAAACUCAAGAACCGUUCAGCCUUCAUUAGAGCAAGUCUUGUUAUUUAGAAGUUAACCAGUCGGAAACUCAUUGCAUAGCGGCCUCUGAUGAAUGAACAUCAUCAUUCCAUUUACCCGAUCACGAAUGUGUCCUUUCCCAGAGGAGCUGGAGAGAAGAGGCUCAGCUCUGGGUUCAAGACAUGCCUGCCAAAGCACCACAUCAUAUCACCUAACCGAAGGCCCCUCCUUCUGCUUGUUUGUUGAAAUAACAGAUGGCAUCCUGAUCUAUGCCCUACCUGGACAAUGGAUAUGGGUCAUGGUGAGAAGGUUACCUGACUUGUAUUCUCCUUUGAAGGAACAUGGACCCCACCUUCACACUGCAGAAACUGCCCACUCUUUCACUUCCAGUCUUCCUGAUUGA